rnacentral:rRNA from 1 species
UACGGGGGGGGCAAGCGUUGUUCGGAAUUACUGGGCGUAAAGGGCUCGUAGGCGGCCAACUAAGUCCGACGUGAAAUCCCCAGGCUUAACCUGGGAACUGCGUCGGAUACUGGAUGGCUUGAAUCCGGGAGAGGGAUGCGGAAUUCCAGGUGUAGCGGUGAAAUGCGCAGAUAUCGGGAAGAACACCCGUGGCGAAGGCGGCUCUCUGGAACGCAACUGACGCUGAGACGCGAAAGCGUGGGGAGCAAACAGG